rnacentral:rRNA from 1 species
UACAGAGGUCUCGAGCGUUAGGCGGAAUCACUGGGCUUAAAGCGUGUGUAGGUGGAUGCCUAAGUACCUUGUGAAAUCCCACGGCUUAACCGUGGAACUGCUUGGUAUACUGGGUGUCUUGAGUCACUCAGGGGCGAGCGGAACAAAUGGUGGAGCGGUGAAAUGCGUAGAUAUCAUUUGGAACGCCAAUGGUGAAAACAGCUCGCUGGGGGUGUACUGACACUGUGACACGAAAGCCAGGGGAGCGAACGGG